rnacentral:rRNA from 1 species
AAAAGUGAUGCCAAAAAUUUAUUUGAUGCACUUGGUCGCUUUGAGUUUAUAGUUGGUAUGAUUAUCUGGCAUGAUGUUCUAUUUGCUGUAAAUAAAGUUAGCAAGAUGUUGCAAUCGUCAACCAUGUGCAUUAACUCCGCUUUGAAGCAAAUAAAAGGUAUAACAAAAUAUUUUGAGAAGUACAGAGAUGAGGGGUUUUCUUCAAGUCUGACCAUCGCUAAAGGUAUUGCAACUGAAAUGGGAAUAGAGCCAUUGUUUCCAGUGAAACGUCAUGCUAAGAGGAAGAAACAGUAUGAUGAAAGUGAUUGUCAAGAAGAAAUCUUGGAAGCUGAGAAGGCUUUCCAAGUUAAAUAUUUUAAUGUUUUGGUUGAUAUGGCGAUCACUUCUUUGAAUGAUAGAUUUAAAGAACUCGUGGUCUUUAAAGAUAUAUUCAGAUUUUUAUUGAGCUCGGGCACUCUCACGUCAUUAAGUGACAAUGAACUUGAAGAAUGUUGCACAAAAUUUGCAGAAACUUUCUCUCUUAAUGGUUCAUCUGAUGUUGAGGUAUACGAUCUUAUUUCUGAAUUGAAGAUUAUGAGAUUCACUUUGCCAGAUGGCACAAUGUCUGCUAUGGAGAUUUUCAGGCAUGUCAGAGAAGUUGAUUGUUACCCCAAUAUAUCCAUUGCCUAUCGCAUCUUAUUUACUGUGCCUGUGACGGUCGCAUCGGCCGAGAGAAGCUUUUCAAAGUUGAAAUUAUUGAAGAAUUAUUUGAGGUCAACCAUGACUCAAGAGAGGUUAAAUGGUUUGGCCACAUUAUGCAUCGAGAAGAAAUUAUUGGAUGAGAUUGACAUCGACCCCAUCAUAAGUGACUUUGCAUCGAGGAAUGUUAGAAGAAAAUUUUAA